rnacentral:rRNA from 1 species
UGAAAGACGGUCUUGCUGUCACUUAUAGAUGGAUCCGCGCUGCAUUAGCUAGUUGGUAAGGUAACGGCUUACCAAGGCAACGAUGCAUAGCCGACCUGAGAGGGUGAUCGGCCACACUGGAACUGAGACACGGUCCAGACUCCUACGGGAGGCAGCAGUAGGGAAUCUUCCGCAAUGGGCGAAAGCCUGACGGAGCAACGCCGCGUGAGUGAUGAAGGUCUUCGGAUCGUAAAACUCUGUUAUUAGGGAAGAACAUAUGUGUAAGUAACUGUGCACAUCUUGACGGUACCUAAUCAGAAAGCCACGGCUAACUACGUGCCAGCAGCCGCGGUAAUACGUAGGUGGCAAGCGUUAUCCGGAAUUAUUGGGCGUAAAGCGCGCGUAGGCGGUU